rnacentral:piRNA from 1 species
AUCUCAGGAGAGUGCUGGCUACUCUGGUC